rnacentral:rRNA from 1 species
GAGUUUGAUCGUGGCUCAGAUUGAACGCUGGCGGCAUGCCUUACACAUGCAAGUCGAACGGCAGCACGGGAGCUUGCUCCUGGUGGCGAGUGGCGAACGGGUGAGUAAUGCAUCGGAACGUAUCCUGGAGUGGGGGAUAACGUAGCGAAAGUUACGCUAAUACCGCAUAUUCUGUGAGCAGGAAAGCGGGGGACCUUCGGGCCUCGCGCCCUUGGAGCGGCCGAUGUCGGAUUAGCUAGUUGGUGAGGUAAAGGCUCACCAAGGCGACGAUCCGUAGCAGGUCUGAGAGGAUGAUCUGCCACACUGGAACUGAGACACGGUCCAGACUCCCACGGGAGGCAGCAGUGGGGAAUUUUGGACAAUGGGGGCAACCCUGAUCCAGCCAUGCCGCGUGAGUGAAGAAGGCCUCGG